CACGUAGGGCGCGAGCGUUGUCCGGAAUUAUUGGGCGUAAAGGGCUCGUAGGCGGUCUGUUGCGUCGAAAGUGAAAAUCCGGGGCUUAACUCCGGACUUGCUUUCGAUACGGGCAGACUAGAGGUAGGCAGGGGAGAGUGGAAUUCCUGGUGUAGCGGUGGAAUGCGCAGAUAUCAGGAGGAACACCGGUGGCGAAGGCGGCUCUCUGGGCCUUACCUGACGCUGAGGAGCGAAAGCGUGGGGAGCGAACAGG
rnacentral:rRNA from 1 species